rnacentral:rRNA from 1 species
UACGAAGGGGGGCUAGCGUUGCUCGGAAUCACUGGGCGUAAAGCGCACGUAGGCGGCUUUUUAAGUCAGGGGUGAAAUCCUGGAGCUCAACUCCAGAACUGCCUUUGAUACUGAGAAGCUUGAGUCCGGGAGAGGUGAGUGGAACUGCGAGUGUAGAGGUGAAAUUCGUAGAUAUUCGCAAGAACACCAGUGGCGAAGGCGGGUCUCUGGGCCGUAACUGACGCUGAGGAGCGAAAGCGUGGGGAGCGAACAGG